rnacentral:rRNA from 1 species
AUUGAACGCUGGCGGCAGGCCUAACACAUGCAAGUCGAACGAGCGGCGGACGGGUGAGUAAUGUCUGGGAAACUGCCAGAUGGAGGGGGAUAACUACUGGAAACGGUAGCUAAUACCGCAUACCAUCGGAUGUGCCCAGCUGGGAUUAGCUAGUAGGUGGGGUAAUGGCUCACCUAGGCGACGAUCCCUAGCUGGUCUGAGAGGAUGACGAGCCACACUGGAACUGAGACACGGUCCAGACUCCUAUGGGAGGCAGCAGUGGGGAAUAGUGCACAAUGGGCGCAAGCCUGAUGCAGCCAUGCCGCGUGUAUGAUGAAGGCUGUCGGGUUGUAAAGUACUUUCAGCGAGGAGGCGUUACUCGCAGAAGAAGCACCGGCUAACUCCGUGCCAGCGGCCGCGGUAAUUC